GAUGAACGCUGGCGGCGUGCCUAAUACAUGCAAGUCGAGCGAACAGACGAUGAGCUUGCUCCUCUGACGUUAGCGGCGGACGGGUGAGUAACACGUGGAUAACCUACCUAUAAGACUGGGAUAACUUCGGGAAACCGGAGCUAAUACCGGAUAAUAUAUUGAACCGCAUGGUUCAAUAGUGAAAGACGGUUUUGCUGUCACUUAUAGAUGGAUCCGCGCCGCAUUAGCUAGUUGGUAAGGUAACGGCUUACCAAGGCAACGAUGCGUAGCCGACCUGAGAGGGUGAUAGGCCACACUGGAACUGAGACACGGUCCAGACUCCUACGGGAGGCAGCAGUAGGGAAUCUUCCGCAAAGGGCGAAAGCCUGACGGAGCAACGCCGCGUGAGUGAUGAAGGUCUUCGGAUCGUAAAACUCUGUUAUUAGGGAAGAACAAAUGUGUAAGUAACUAUGCACGUCUUGACGGUACCUAAUCAGAAAGCCACGGCUAACUACGUG
rnacentral:rRNA from 1 species